rnacentral:rRNA from 1 species
CCUACGUGAGACUGCAGUGAGGAAUAUUGGUCAAUGUGCGCGAGCCUGAACCAGCCAAGUAGCGUGAAGGAUGACUGCCCUACGGGUUGUAAACUUCUUUUAUAAAGGAAUAAAGUGAGGCACGUGUGCCUUUUUGUAUGUACUUUAUGAAUAAGUCUCGGCUAACUCCGUGCCAGCAGCCGCGGUAAUACGGAGGAUCCGAGAGUUAUCCGGAUUUAUUGGGUUUAAGGGGAGCGUAGAUGGGUGGUUAAGUCAGUUGUGAAAGUUUGCGGCUCAACCGUAAAAUUUCAAUUGAUACUGGCAGUCUUGAGUACAGUUGAGGUAGGCGGAAUUCGUGGUGUAGCGGUGAAAUGCUUAGAUAUCACGAAGAACUACGAUUGCGAAGGCAGCUUACUAAACUGCCACUGACAUUGAUGCUCGAAAGUGUGGGUAUCAAACAGGAUUAGAUACCCUAGUAGUC